UCUAAAUUAGAGAAAGGAGAUAAAAAUAACCUCUGGAUAUUCCUCUCGUGUGGUAUUUAUUCUGGAUGAAGCAUUAAGAUCUCUACUAGAGGUGUAUCACUGCAGUUUGCUGUCAGAAGUGUGCUUUGCUUCGAAAAGGCAGUAACUUCAAGCUCUUGUGGUGGAUACAGAUUCUUGCUGCAAGGAAAUAACAG